GUUAGCAGUAAGAAGAUGAGCCUUAAGUCUGAACGCUGAGGAAUUCAUGUGCAUCAGUCGGACCUCCUGUGCAAGAAAGGAUGUGGUUACUACGGCAACCCUGACUGGCAGGGUUUCUGCUCCAAGUGCUGGAGGGAAGAGUACCACAAAGCUAGGCAGAAGGAGAUUCAGGAGGACUGGGAGCUGGCGGAGGUCUUGCUCUGUCACCCCGGCUGGAGUACAGUGGUGCAAUCUCAACUCACUGCAUCCUCUGCUUCCUAGGCUCAAGUGAUCCUCCUGCUUCAGCCUCCCAAGUAGCUAGGACUACAGACUCCAGCGGGAGGAAGAAGAGGCCUUUGCCAGCAGUCAGAGCAGCCAAGGGGCCCAAUCCCUCACAUUCUCCAAGUUUGAAGGAAAGAAAACCAACGAGAAGACCCGCAAGAUUACCACAGUGAAGAAAUCUUCAGUACGUCUUCCAGGGUCGGAUCAAAGAAGGGAAAUUCAGGAAGCAAAAGCUCCCAGUCCUUCCAUAAACCGGCAAACCAGCAUUGAAAUGGAUAGAGUGUCUAAGGAGUUCAUAGAAUUUCUCAAGACCUUCUGCAAGACAGGCCAAGAAAUCUAUAAACUGACCAAGCUGUUUUUGGAAGGGAUGCAUUACAAAAGGGAGACGGGUUUUGCCAUGUUGGCCAGGCUGGUCUUGAACUCCUGACCUAAGGUGAUCCGUCCGCCUCGGCCUCCCAAAGUGCUGGGAUUACAGGCGUGAGCCACUGCACCCAUGCCUCCAGAAUGAGUUGAGAAGAUAAAUGGAUCAGAUUGAAAAGUACAUCAUGACUCAUCUCUAUAAAUAUGUGUUCUGUCCAGAAACUACUGAUGAUGAGAUGAAAGAUCUUGCCAUUCAAAAGAGGAUCAGAGCCCUUCACUGGGUUACACCUCAGAUGCUGUGUGUCCCUGUUAAUGAAGACAUCCCAGAAGUGUCUGAUACGGUGUUGAAGGCAAUCACAG
rnacentral:lncRNA from 1 species